CGGGGUGAGUAACGCGUGAGGAACCUGCCUUUCAGAGGGGGACGAACAGUUGGAAACGACUGCUAAUACCGCAUAACACAUAGGUGUCGCAUGGCAUUUAUGUCAAAGAUUUAUCGCUGAAAGAUGGCCUCGCGUCUGAUUAGCUAGUUGGUAGGGUAACGGCCUACCAAGGCGACGAUCAGUAGCCGGACUGAGAGGUUGGCCGGCCACAUUGGGACUGAGAUACGGCCCAGACUCCUACGGAAGGCAGCAG
rnacentral:rRNA from 1 species